UACGUAGGGUGCGAGCGUUAAUCGGAAUUACUGGGCGUAAAGCGUGCGCAGGCGGUUUAGUAAGACAGGCGUGAAAUCCCCGGGCUCAACCUGGGAACUGCGCUUGUGACUGCUAAGCUAGAGUACGGCAGAGGGGGGUGGAAUUCCACGUGUAGCAGUGAAAUGCGUAGAGAUGUGGAGGAACACCGAUGGCGAAGGCAGCCCCCUAGGCCGAUACUGACGCUCAUGCACGAAAGCGUGGGUAGCAAACAGG
rnacentral:rRNA from 1 species